UACGAAGGGGGCUAGCGUUGUUCGGAUUUACUGGGCGUAAAGCGCACGUAGGCGGAUUGUUAAGUCGGGGGUGAAAUCCUGGAGCUCAACUCCAGAAUUGCCUUCGAUACUGGCUUUCUAGAGGCUGGAAGAGGUUAGUGGAAUUCCCAGUGUAGAGGUGAAAUUCGUAGAUAUUGGGAAGAACACCAGUGGCGAAGGCGGCUAACUGGUCCAGAUCUGACGCUGAGGUGCGAAAGCGUGGGGAG
rnacentral:rRNA from 1 species